AACACAUUUCCAUGUGGACAGCCACAUCUCACUGCUGGUUUACGUUGAGUUUGAGAGGAACUUAAAUCGUCUGCUGUUUUCACACAGACCUUGUCUGUGACCACAGAAGGAAGAUGCCAUAACUGAACCAUCCCGUCCCUGACCUUCAGUCUCACUCACAUCUGUUAACUCAUUGACUCCUUCAUUUGUCUAACCUUCACAACAUUCCAAAGACAGCUGCCAGAACAACAGCAACGUGGAACCAAACCCAUGAAUUCAAGGGAUGAAAGCAUGAGCUGACCCCAGAGAUGUGCUGCCCACCUUCUUGGUUAAACAUACUCACUGUGAGGUCUGACAGCCUGACUUUGAAUCUGGGCCUCCCUCCAUCACAAGCCUAAAGUGGCCCGAUCUGAUGAUGUUCUGUGAAAUUGAAUAUGUUCUACACCAAGUCCUAAGCCGUGAGUGCCAGAUCAGCUCCCAGAUGUCAGUGACUACUUUUCUCUU